rnacentral:lncRNA from 1 species
AAUAAGCACUUGCAUAACAAUGAGAUACCACUACACAGUUAUUGGAAUGGCCAAAAUGCAAAACAUGAACAACACCAAGUGCUGCUGAAGACAUGAAGCAAGAGGAACUCUCAUUCAUUUCUGGUGGAAAUGUAAAAUAAUACAGCCACUUUGAAAGAGAGUUUGGCAGUUCUUUACAAAACUAAACAUAUUUCUAACUAUACAAUCCAGCAAUCACACUCCUUGGUAUUUACCCAAACUAGUUGAAAACUCAGGUCCACACAAAAAUUUGCACACAGACGUUUAUAGAAGCUUUAUUUAUAAUGGCCAAAAUUUGCAAGCAACAGUGAUGUCCUUAGUGAAGGGAGAAACAAACUGUGGUCCAUCCAGACAAUGGAAUAUCAUGCAGUACUAAAAAGAAAUGAGCUAUUAAGCCAUGAAAAGACACAGAAGAAACUUAAAUGCAUAUUACUAAGUGAAAGAAGACAAUCUGAAAAGGAAACAUACUGUAUGGUUUCAACAAAAUGACAUUUUGGAAAAGGCUUAAGGUACUGAUUCUCUUCAAGCUGAAUGCCAUGGUUUGCCCCAUGGAGUAGCCAUAGGCAGCAAAUGUGGAUUCAUACAGAUGUCCGAGAAAGUUCCUGAUGAAGAAGUGAAUUUAGAUCCAUCCUGAAAAAGAGAAAGGCACAAGGAAGAAAAGGGCACUUACUAGAACUUCAGCUCACAAGCUGAUGAAGCAAGACCCCUGUACGGGCCACCAGAAGAAACGAUGCAGGCUCGGUAAGUCAAGGAGUCAAAAGAAAGGUUUCUUGGACUCUCACGGUCUGGCAGUAGUGCUCUUUUAUUCAGAGAAUAGCGUGGAGUAGCAUGGGGACAGGACCCAUGGGCAGUGAAGAGCUGCAAUGUGUUGAGGGUUACCGCUAAAUUUAUAAGGCAUAGGUAUGUGAGUUAUUUCUUUACAAGACAAAGGAAAGAUCAUGAAAAAUAUCAUUGUUAAAAUGGUGUCAGUGCAGGUGGGGUCUGGUUAUUGGGUGUUCCUAUAACUUUAGAUAAGAAUCAGAUCAGAUUAAGUCAGGAUGUUCUAUGCUUCCUGGAGGAUGAUAUAGAUCAGUAUGUAGGGCAGGACACCUUGGACUGCUCUCCCUGGGGCAGCCUUAAUCGUCAUCAGGAGAACAAAUUAAAUUCACAUGAGACAGACUAACAGG